rnacentral:rRNA from 1 species
UUGAUCCUGGCUCAGAUUGAACGCUGGCGGCAUGCCUUACACAUGCAAGUCGAACGGUAACAGGUCUUCGGAUGCUGACGAGUGGCGAACGGGUGAGUAAUACAUCGGAACGUGCCCGAUCGUGGGGGAUAACGGAGCGAAAGCUUUGCUAAUACCGCAUACGAUCUACGGAUGAAAGCAGGGGACCGCAAGGCCUUGCGCGAACGGAGCGGCCGAUGGCAGAUUAGGUAGUUGGUGGGAUAAAAGCUUACCAAGCCGACGAUCUGUAGCUGGUCUGAGAGGACGACCAGCCACACUGGGACUGAGACACGGCCCAGACUCCUACGGGAGGCAGCAGUGGGGAAUUUUGGACAAUGGGCGAAAGCCUGAUCCAGCCAUGCCGCGUGCAGGAUGAAGGCCUUCGGGUUGUAAACUGCUUUUGUACGGAACGAAAAGACUCUGGUUAAUACCUGGGGUCCAUGACGGUACCGUAAGAAUAAGCACCGGCUAACUACGUGCCAGCAGCCGCGGUAAUACGUAGGGUGCAAGCGUUAAUCGGAAUUACUGGGCGUAAAGCGUGCGCAGGCGGUUAUAUAAGACAGAUGUGAAAUC